AGCGAACGCUGGCGGCAGGCCUAACACAUGCAAGUCGAACGAACUCUUCGGAGUUAGUGGCGGACGGGUGAGUAACACGUGGGAACGUGCCUUUUGGUUCGGAAUAACUCAGGGAAACUUGUGCUAAUACCGAAUGUGCCCUUCGGGGGAAAGAUUUAUCGCCAUUAGAGCGGCCCGCGUCUGAUUAGCUAGUUGGUGAGGUAACGGCUCACCAAGGCGACGAUCAGUAGCUGGUCUGAGAGGAUGACCAGCCACACUGGGACUGAGGCACGGCCCAGACACCUACGGGAGGCAGCAGUGGGGAAUCUUGCGCAAUGGGCGAAAGCCUGACGCAGCCAUGCCGCGUGAAUGAUGAAGGUCUUAGGAUUGUAAAAUUCUUUCACCGGGGACGAUAAUGACGGUACCCGGAGAAGAAGCCCCGGCUAACUUCGUG
rnacentral:rRNA from 1 species